UACGUAGGGUGCAAGCGUUGUCCGGAAUUAUUGGGCGUAAAGAGCUCGUAGGCGGUUUGUCGCGUCUGCUGUGAAAACCCGAGGCUCAACCUCGGGCCUGCAGUGGGUACGGGCAGACUAGAGUGCGGUAGGGGAGAUUGGAAUUCCUGGUGUAGCGGUGGAAUGCGCAGAUAUCAGGGAGACACCAAUGGCGAAGGCAGCCCCCCUGGGCUAACACUGACGCU
rnacentral:rRNA from 1 species